CUGGAAUUGUGGGAGAGUAUUUUUGUAACAGCUGUUCAGCAGCCUCAAACCUCCCCUGUUGGUGGUGGGGGAGAGUGCUCCCUAUUAAAGCCAAGCAAGAAGGGCAACAGCAAGCGGCAUGGGGAGCUUGUUAUGUGCGAAGGUCAAAGUAGCCUAUGAGCAGACCAAACUCCCCUCCAAUCCUGGCCAAAUGUGGUAAGUCCUGAGGACCCAAUGUUCAACUUGUCCCCGAGAGAAUUAGUGUGAGGUCAUUUUAAACAAGACUGGAGUCCUAAAGAAGACCUGACUUGAUGGUAUAAGGGGAAUCAGGAGUAAGCGCUACAGGAGAUGGGGUAGAGCUAAACGCGGGAACCAGGAGGGCAAGUGCAGAAACUGAUAACGCUUACUUACAUCAAGAGAAGGGCAGGUGAUGUCUGUAACAGGUCUGAACUUUCUCCAGGAGAGACAGAGUCAUCUUUAACCCUCUGCUAGAACGUCUAGUCCAGAGAAAGCAAAGCCAGCUUACAACGGUAUCAGUCAUGAAAGAACUUUCCUUACUUCUUUCUGCAACCCCAGUGGGGUCUCUGAUGGCAGCUGGACAGUGGAGGAGGAACCACAAGAGGAGCAGAGAAGGAGCCAGUGGACAGGGUUGCUUUCUUCAAGGAAUCCUGAUGGAGAGCUGGACUUCAAAUGUCUUCUUCCUUGGGAAUACCAUGAAUAGGGAGCAACAGCAAAACAAAAGAUACUGUGGGCUGUCUGAAGAUUCUGAUGAUUUUUCUCUGCCUUCUCAUUAACAAACAGUACUGCAGCAACUCAGUUACCUCUGAAAAUCUGGAGGAAAUUUCCCCUAAUUCAUCAGCUAUCUCUUGGUUCUUUGCUUUUGGGAAAGGAAGGGUGUAGAGCCUUAUCACUUGACGUUCUGAUACAGCAGAGACAUCACCUGGAUGUUUGCUAGAAAUGGAGGAUCUCGUGGUCCCGCGGACCUGUGGAAUCUAAACCUGCAUUUUAAAAAGGUUCAAAGGAGGGCGCCUGGAUGGCUCAGUCGGUUAAGCUUCUGACUUCAGCUUAGGUCAUGAUCUCGUGUUUUGUGAGUUUGAGCCCCACGUCAGGCUCUCUGCACAGAGCCUGGAGCCUGCUUCAGAUCCUCUGUCUCCCCCUCCUAUGCUCAUGCUCUGUCUCUCAAUAGUAAACAAACAUCAGAAA
rnacentral:lncRNA from 1 species